UACGGGGGAGGCAAGCGUUGUUCGGAUUUACUGGGCGUAAAGGGCGCGUAGGCGGCCAGCACAAGUCAGUUGUGAAAUCUCCGAGCUUAACUCGGAAAGGUCAACUGAUACUGUGCGGCUAGAGUGCGGAAGGGGCAACUGGAAUUCUUGGUGUAGCGGUGAAAUGCGCAGAUAUCAGGAGGAACACCAAUUGCGAAGGCAGCUCGCUGGGACGUUACUGACGCUGAGACGCGAAAGCGUGGGAGC
rnacentral:rRNA from 1 species